rnacentral:rRNA from 1 species
UUGACCUCAAAUCAAGCAAGAUUACCCGCUGAACUUAAGCAUAUCAAUAAGCGGAGGAAAAGAAACUAACAGAGGAUUCCCCUAGUAACUGCGAGUGAAGCGGGAAAAGCUCAAAUUUAAAAUCUGGGCAGUGGCUCACUGCCCGAG